ensembl:lncRNA
UGUCAUAACAAUGACGUCUCAUAAGUACCGCAAAAACAUUGCAGAGAGUGUCAGCAUUUCCCAAAAGCAUCAUAACGUUAAGCUCGUCACUUAUUUUCUCUUCUCUACCUUAUGAUAAUCUUGUGCUACGACACUGUCGCAUCACGAGUCUGAGUUGUCUUUGCAAAUUCAAGGGCUGCCAGUUUUUGGCCCAUUAGUAUUCUGUAUGUGUGCACAGAGACUUCUACCAUAGCAAUGUCAGCGUCGUAUUCGGUUCUACCGUUUUCAUUUGCAUCCAUUUGAAUUUGAUCAGGCUCAGAUGACCGAUUUCUGUUAAUCAAACAGUUUUGAUCUCACCGUUCAUGGGCACAAAGCAGUUAUUCUGUUUGGUUUCAUUUAUAACUUCAGUGAUUAUGAGCAGGGUGAAAAACGCUAUACAGACGCUAAGCACUGCUGCAUGUGGACCAGCUUUGUUAACCUGAGGCAUUAUUCAUCCAUCCUUGACAUCCCAGCUCCAGUCUAGGAAAUCACUGACUAUCCUUCAUGGCAAUAGAGAUCCAUCUAUCUAUCAAAUCGGCACAUUUUCUGUACCGCUUAUCCUACACUGGGUCAUGGGGGGGGCCUGGACCCUAUCCCAGGGGACUCGGGGCACAAGACGGGGACACCAUGGACGGGGUGCCAACCCAUUGUAGGGCACAAUCGCACACACACUCACAUAACCAUUCACAUGCUAGGGACAAUUUGAAAAUGCUAAUCAGCCUACAACACAUGUCUUUGGACAGGAGGAGAAAACCAGAGUACGUGAAGAAAACCCCUGAAUCACGGGGAGAACAUACAAAGUCCACGCACAUAGGGCGGAAGCACAAACCCCGCAUGAAUGAGACAAAUGUACUAACCAUUCAGGUUUUUCAAAUAAAACUUGUAAAACACCAUUUGUCUGAGGACUGGGUGGUUGUGUGGACAUUUGACACUAUCCUAUUAAUAGUUUCCAUCCAUUUUAUGAACAUAAAGCAAGUGUGUUAAAAUGUUUUCUGCCGUUUUUUUUUCCAGUUUUUUUCUUUUUCCUCGAUUUUCUCAGUAAUUUAGUCAUGGCCACUCACCCACCCAUCCGGCAGCUCUCCCCUAUCACAUGACAGCUUCCAACCAGGGAGGGAGGAAGCACAUGAUGCUAGCCGACUACAUAUUUUUGAACUGCUUAAGGGGUGUCAGGGGGCAGCGUAACACACUCCGAGGAAAGUGCUAUCCGUCCCUGUCUGCAUGCACGAGCUCACAGACGCCCAUGAUUGGUUAGUGUUGCUGAGAUUGAUAGAGGAGAGAGUAUGCCCCCUUUAACUCCCUGAGCGCACUGCCAGUUUUGAUGGAUGACAGUGUCAUCAUCAGGAACUCACGAUCUCCAGAUGAUAGGGUGAACGCUUUCCUGUUUCUGAUUUGUGAUAAAAAUGCUUUACGUAAUGACAUCACUUCCUGCAGCAAGUAGUAACACGUCUUGCUUUGUCAAGAAAAAAGAUUUGUUCAACAUGUUUUCUUCGAGCCUUUCACAACGUUCCUGUCUUUUUUCUUCGCCCUUUGCCAUCAGUCAGUCAGAUAAAAAUAGAAGGAACAGAAUAUAGACCACUGAUCUACAUUAGGCUAAAAAUGUUAGUACAAUACUGUGCUCUCUUCCUUUAUGUUUAAUCAAGGACACGGUAAGCGGAGGGUGCUGCAGCACUCCUUUCAUUUGAAAUGCAGGUACAAUUGCUAACAAAUUAUAUGCAAUUAUAUACAGUAUAAAGUAGAACUUCAGGAGAGAGAAAAAAGACACUGGUGAGAAAACGACUGUUUAUAGCUAUAAAUAAUCAACAUAAUCAAGAACAGGAACAAACUACUGACUUUUAGUAAGCACCUACCCUUGAGACGCCUUCCAUUUUAGAACGAGUGCAUUACUAUAAACCUAUUAUUUAUGUUACGGUAGUAACUAUUGUCAGAGCCGUGCUGUUACAGGAAAUUACUAAACACAUUCUGAUUCGACAAUCAAACCACGCUGUGGUAUAGUUAUUGUUAUCAUCACCCAUUUGUGCUAUUAAAAGAAAAAGGACCUGACUGUCGUUCGUGUGUGAUGUCAUAGCUCAUGGCACAGGCUUGCUGCUUAACAUUCCAGCACCCGCAAUGUAAAACGCCUUCCCGUGUCCCUGCGUUUAAUAUUAACAGAGUACAUUUUACUAGAUAGAAGAGCUGUUCACAUGGAAGAAGCUUUAGGCACAACACCAUCACCCUGCUUUUCCUGCUGCUCUUUUAUUGGUUUGUUGUAGCAGAAGUGGGUGAUACACUGUAUGAUGCAUACCCACCCCCACCACCCAUGCACAAAACAAACACACACACACACACACACACAAAACACCUUCAUUUAAGGACCAUCCAGUGACAUAAUUAUUAUAAAUACACCUAAAUCUAACCUUCACCUUAAUUCUAGCAACCAAAAGAACAUUUAAGAUCUUUUAGUUUAAAAUUUUUAAAACUCCCCAUGAAAUCAAAAUUGAAGUGUUGUGGCUUUUAGUAUGAAUAUGUUAGCCUUAAGGUUAUCCAUAAGCUAGUGUGCUCCAAAGCAAUGACAACAGUCGCAUUCAGAAGAUAUAUGCGUUCAUUUUCAGUCUCUCUCUACCACCAAUACGGAUAAACAAUUUUGAUGACACAACUUUGCACUUCAGCUUCUCAUCAGAUUUUCUGUCCAAUCAAAUGAUCUCUAGCAUCUGAAAUGGCCCGUCUCCAACAGUUGUAAGUUUCCUGGCUGUGAGGUAAGCUAAAUGCUACUGGCCAUUUAAAAAGGGGCGAGGAGCCGCUCAAUAUGUCCCGCCUUGACUUCCUGUUUCAGUGGAACGCUAUGUGUUUCAAGGCACCUCACAGGGACUUUAAUAAAAUAGUUUCUGUAAAAAAAAAGUUUUCCUCACAGGGACAAGCAAAAAGUCAAAAUUAUAAGAUAUUUCUAUUAUUGCGCACAUACUCACACACACACACACGCACACACACACACACACACACACACACACACACACACACACACACACACACACACACACACACACAAGAGUCUGCCAGAGUAGCAGAUGUCUUGUUAAGCAUCACUGUAUGCUCAAUCAGCCGUAAUUAUUUCAAAUGCUUGUUUAUGCUCCAUGCGUCUGUCAGAUUAGAUGCCAUUCACGUUCUCUCCUAUCUUUUAUUUCCAUCUUCUUCAACUUUUAUAUUGUUUUGUUCAUAUGACAACCAUUUGUCAUUUUCACAAUGCUCUUGAUCAGCUCUUGCUUUAACUAGAGUGAUGCAACGAAUGUUCAACAGAGAAACAAAGUGGAACACUGGAAGGCUUUUGCAUUCAUACAGUAAAUACUAAACAGCACUCCACACUGAUAACUGACACAGAGAGUGGACAAAACUUUCUCCAAGGCUAGAUGUCUAUGGAAAAGCGAUGGCAGAGUGUCUCAAACAUCUAACGCAUUAGAGUCUACUCACUUGACCCACUCAUUACUCCUGUCCCCUCUUUCUGCACUUCUAAAGGUAAGAGACACUGUCUUAUUCUUUCCUUCACUCACUUCUCUCUUUCCCCACGGUGUUACAAUUUCAG